UACGUAGGGGGCAAGCGUUGUCCGGAUUCACUGGGUUUAAAGGGUGCGUAGGCGGGUUGGUAAGUCCGUGGUGAAAUCUCCGAGCUUAACUCGGAAACUGCCGUGGAUACUAUCAAUCUUGAAUAUCGUGGAGGUAAGCGGAAUAUGUCAUGUAGCGGUGAAAUGCUUAGAUAUGACAUAGAACACCAAUUGCGUAGGCAGCUUACUACACGAUCAUUGACGCUGAGGCACGAAAGCGUGGGGAGCAAACAGG
rnacentral:rRNA from 1 species